GGGCCCGCACAAGCGGUGGAGCAUGUGGUUUAAUUCGAUGAUACGCGAGGAACCUUACCAGGGUUUAAAUGCAGAACGACAGGGGUGGAAACACCCCCUUCUUCGGACGGACUGCAAGGUGCUGCAUGGUUGUCGUCAGCUCGUGCUGUGAAGUGUCGGGUUAAGUCCCAUAACGAGCGCAACCCCCAUUUCUAGUUGCCAGCGGUUCGGCCGGGGACUCUAGAGAAACUGCCAGCGUAAGCUGUGAGGAAGGUGGGGAUGACGUCAAAUCAUCACGGCCCUUACGUCCUGGGCUACACACGUGCUACAAUGGUAGGGACAGAGAGUUGCCAACCCGCGAGGGUGAGCUAAUCUUCAAAGCCGGUCUCAGUUCGGAUCGCAGUCUGCAACUCGACUGCGUGAAGCUGGAAUC
rnacentral:rRNA from 1 species